rnacentral:tRNA from 1 species
GCCUGACUGGCUCAGUCAGUAGAGCACGUGACUCUUGAUCUUGGUGUCAUGAGUUCAAACCCCGUGUCAGGUG